AGGGCUCUGCUUCUCCUCCUGUUCUUACCAGCCCAGAUGAACUGAACUCCUCCCAGCAAGUAGGAGGGGAUAUUGUCACCGAGCCUGCCAUCUGCUAGCUGCCACGGAGCAGCAUGCUGCUACUGUCCGAGCUGCCACAGAGCUAAGAAGACAAAGAGAGUGUUGCUGUCUGCUCAGCAGUGUCAGACUCCACAUGGAUUUCAAACAGAAAAGUCCCAAAUAUCUGCAGUCUGCUUCGAAAGUGAACUGUACGCUUGUUCCAGAUGAUUCCCCCUUUCCCCUACACCACAGCACAUUCCCAGCC